CGGGGAGGUAGUGACGAAAAAUAACGAUACGGGACUCAUCCGAGGCCCCGUAAUCGGAAUGAGUACACUUUAAAUCCUUUAACGAGGACCAAUUGGAGGGCAAGUCUGGUGCCAGCAGCCGCGGUAAUUCCAGCUCCAAUAGCGUAUAUUAAAGUUGUUGCGGUUAAAAAGCUCGUAGUUGAAUCUGUGUGUCACAGUGUCGGUUCACCGCUCGCGGUGUUUAACUGGCAUUAUGUGGUACGUCCUACCGGUGGGCUUAGCUCCUUGCGGGCGGUCCAACUAAUAUCCCAUCGCGGUGCUCUUUACUGAGUGUCGAGGUGGGCCGGUACGUUUACUUUGAACAAAUUAGAGUGCUCAAAGCAGGCUACCUUCGCCUGAAUACUCUGUGCAUGGAAUAAUGGAAUAGGACCUCGGUUCUAUUUUGUUGGUUUUCGGAACCCCGAGGUAAUGAUUAAUAGGGACAGAUGGGGGCAUUCGUAUUGCGACGUUAGAGGUGAAAUUCUUGGAUCGUCGCAAGACGGACAGAAGCGAAAGCAUUUGCCAAAAAUGUUUUCAUUAAUCAAGAACGAAAGUUAGAGGUUCGAAGGCGAUCAGAUACCGCCCUAGUUCUAACCAUAAACGAUGCCAGCUAGCGAUCCGCCGAAGUUCCUCCGAUGACUCGGCGGGCAGCUUCCGGGAAACCAAAGCUUUUGGGUUCCGGGGGAAGUAUGGUUGCAAAGCUGAAACUUAAAGGAAUUGACGGAAGGGCACCACCAGGAGUGGAGCCUGCGGCUUAAUUUGACUC
rnacentral:rRNA from 3 species